AAGAAAACUCUAAGACAUAACACAAAACAGUUUUGUCCUAAGUAAAAACUUAACAACAAUUAAAACACUAAACUAAUAAAUUAACAGAAAAUACAAAGUAAAACAACUAAUUUAACAGAAGGUAUUUUUCAUAAAAUUUUAUUUGCAAAAAGAAA